UGGGGAAUAUUGCACAAUGGGCGCAAGCCUGAUGCAGCAACGCCGCGUGAGGGAUGACGGCCUUCGGGUUGUAAAACCUCUUUUAGUAGGGAAGAAGCGAAAGUGACGGUACCUGCAGAAAAAGCACCGGCUAACUACGUGCCAGCAGCCGCGGUAAUACGUAGGGUGCGAGCGUUGUCCGGAAUUAUUGGGCGUAAAGAGCUCGUAGGCGGUCUGUCGCGUCUGCUGUGAAAAUCCCCGAGGCUCAACCUCGGGCCUGCAGUGGGUACGGGCAGACUAGAGUGCGGUAGGGGAGAAUGGAAUUCCUGGUGUAGCGGUGGAAUGCGCAGAUAUCAGGAGGAACACCGAUGGCGAAGGCAGUUCUCUGGGCCGUAACUGACGCUGAGGAGCGAAAGCGUGGGGAGCGAACAGGAUUAGAUACCCCUGGUAGUCCACGCCGUAAACGUUGGGCGCUAGAUGUGGGGACCAUUCCACGG
rnacentral:rRNA from 1 species